rfam:Dipodomys ordii ctg_broad_rename0000619, whole genome shotgun sequence.
GGGAUGGUGGCUCAGGGGUAGAGCGCUUGCCUUGUAUGCAUGAGGCCCUGGGUUUGAUUCCUCAGUACCA